rnacentral:rRNA from 1 species
GCGGCGUGCCUAACACAUGCAAGUCGAACAAGAAAGGGACUUCGGUCCUGAGUACAGUGGCGCACGGGUGAGUAACACGUGACUAACCUACCCUCGAGUGGGGAAUAACUUCGGGAAACCGAGGCUAAUACCGCAUAAUACCCACGGGUCAAAGGAGCAAUUCGCUUGAGGAGGGGGUCGCGGCCGAUUAGCUAGUUGGCGGGGUAAUGGCCCACCAAGGCAGUGAUCGGUAUCCGGCCUGAGAGGGCGCACGGACACACUGGAACUGAAACACGGUCCAGACUCCUACGGGAGGCAGCAGUGGGGAAUUUUGCGCAAUGGGGGAAACCCUGACGCAGCAACGCCGCGUGGAGGAUGAAGUCUCUUGGGACGUAAACUCCUUUCGAUCGGAACGAUUAUGACGGUACCGGAAGAAGAAGCCCCGGCUAACUUCGUGCCAGCAGCCGCGGUAAUACGAGGGGGGCGAGCGUUGUUCGGAAUUAUUGGGCGUAAAGGGUGCGUAGGCGGUUCGGUAAGUUUGAUGUGAAAUCUUCGGGCUCAACUCGAAGUCUGCAUCGAAAACUGCCGGGCUUGAGUGUGGGAGAGGUGAGUGGAAUUUCCGGUGUAGCGGUGAAAUGCGUAGAUAUCGGAAGGAACACCUGUGGCGAAAGCGGCUCACUGGACCACAACUGACGCUGAUGCACGAAAGCUAGGGGAGCAAACAGGAUUAGAUACCCUGGUAGUCCUAGCCCUAAACGAUGAUCGCUUCGGAUAACGGGGAGGAAGGUGGGGAUGACGUCAAGUCCUCAUGGCCUUUAUGUCCAGGGCUACACACGUGCUACAAUGGCCGGUACAAACCGCCGCAAACCCGCGAGGGGGAGCUAAUCGGAAAAAGCCGGCCUCAGUUCGGAUUGUAGUCUGCAACUCGACUACAUGAAGCUGGAAUCGCUAGUAAUCGCGGAUCAGCAUGCCGCGGUGAAUACGUUCCCGGGCCUUGUACACACCGCCCGUCACAUCACGAAAGUGGGUCGUACUAGAAGCGGGUGAGCCAACCGUAAGGAGGCAGCCUUCCAAGGUGUGAUUCAUGAUUGGGGUGAAGUCGUAACAUGGUAGCCGUAGGAGAACCUGCGGCUGGAUCACCUCCUUUCU